AGAAGCUGGUGCCAUUGUUUUAGACUCCCACCCUCCAGAAUUGUGAGCUAAAUAGAUUUCAUUUCUUUGUAAAUUACCCAGUCUCAAGUAUUUUGUUAUAGAAACUAAAGAACAAACUAAGACAGGAGGUAAUGAUGUCAGUCAAAGACACCUAGUUCACAGCAUAGAGACAAGUAUACAUCUACUAAAGUGUGUGGGCAAAACCCCGUGGGACUACUAUAUAACAAUAGGAUAUAGCAUUUUCACUUUUGUGUCCACCUGUACAGGUUUACUUGCAAGAUAAGUUUGAGGAAAUCAACAGCGAAGUUUGCUGGAGGAAGAAGGAUGCUGAUUAGCACGAGCCCCUGGAUUAAACAGUUUGUUUAGAUGGAGCUUGAAUCUCAAAAAGUGGCCAAAGAAAACUGACAGAAGAGCUAAGAGAAAUCACUCCUGAUCCAUUUACAUUGUGAAGCAUUUAGAAAGGAAACACCACACUAGUGUUUUGGGGAUUUAUUGCAUUUUUUCCUGAAUUUGCUUUUUAAAUCCUGCAUCUAUCUCUGUAACAUUAAGUUUCUCCAAAGCAUUCGGUUUGUGCUGGGGUCAGAGAGUGGAGAAACUGUGAUGUUUCGCUGCAUCUCAGAAUAGCCUGUUCAGCAGAGGACACUCACAAUGAAUAAUGGAGAGACACAGCCACAGAGAGGAAGAUCUCACCUCAAAGGAAAAUAAAGCCGAUUCACAAUCAUCCCAAUAUUUCAGUUGUUUUCUGGGCCAGGGAAGUGAGAAUGUGAAGGGGCUGUGACUUCCAGCUCCUCGUGAUGACAUCUGCAUGUCUCAGGACAGCACGGUGUUGCUGCUGGGACUUGUUUGCCUGUUUGCCUGAGAAGACAAGAGUUGCUGACCUGAGGAAUUAAUGCUCACGCUGAUGCUCGAGCAGUCCUGGGCCAGGCACACACACAUCAGGGCUGCACCUUAAGUCUCACCUGGACUCAGAAGCUGUCUGACACUGGACCCCAGCUGGCCAUUUCCAAAGGGGAUGGGCAUCCUCAACUAGACACUUCAAACAAACUGCUGAAGACAGGCAGAACAUUUUUAACCAUAAAGGGAGGUGGUAGCUGAGUCCACAAGACGGAAGGUCCAGCUAAACGGCGGUGUGUAUCCAGUCCUGGAUCUCUACACUCGUAACACUGUGCAUCAAGUAAGUCCAGAGGGAAGUUUGACCUUCGUUCUCAGCCAUCACCAGGAACCUCCCCCUGCCUGUCUUUAAACUGACUCAUACUGACCACUCUCUGUGAAAAAUUUUAAACACAGAAGGAUUACUGCAGGCUAUCUCGACACUGCUACCACGUCACGCUUCGGACUGCAGGCGCCUUCUCCAGGACCUUCCCCACUCACCAAGCCUGGUGCUCUCCACUCCCUCCAGCUGUCCUCACCUCAGAGAA